ACGGCUCAGUAACACGUCGAUAAUCUAACCUUAAGUCGAGAAUAACCUUGGGAAACUGAGGAUAAAACUUGAUAAAGGAAAAGUAUUGGAAUGUCUUUUCCUUGAAAAGUAAUGCUUAAGGAUGAGUCGGCGGCGGAUUAGGUUGUUGGUGAGGUAAAGGCUCACCAAGCCGAAGAUCCGUAGGGGCCUUGAGAGAGGUAGCCCCGAGAAUGGCACUGAGAUACUGGCCAUAGCCCUACGGGGUGCAGCAGGCGCGAAACCUUUACAAUGCACGGAAGUGUGAUAAGGGGACCCAGAGUGCUUAGCUUAGCUAGGCUUUUGCCAAGAGUAAAUAUCUUGGAGAAUAAGUGGUGGGCAAGACUGGUGCCAGCCGCCGCGGUAAUACCAGCGCCACGAGUGGGAACUAUAAUUAUUGGGCCUAAAGCGUUCGUAGCCGGUUUAAUAAAUUUCUUGUGAAAUUGUUGGGCUCAACCCAACAACGUGCAGGAAAGACUGUUAGACUUGGGACUGGGAGGAGUUAGAAGUAUCUUUGGGGUAGCGGUAAAAUGUUAUAAUCCUAAAGAGACUACCUAUGGCGAAAGCAUCUAACUAGAACAGGUCCGACGGUGAGGAACGAAAGCUAGGGGAGCGAACCGGAUUAGAUACCCGAGUAGUCCUAGCCAUAAACGCUGCGAGCAAGAUGUUGUAUAUUCUUCGGGAAUAUACAGUAUCGAAAAAGAGUCGUUAAGCUCCCCGCCUGGAAGUAUGGUCGCAGACUGAAACUUAAAGGAAUUGGCGGGGGAGCAC
rnacentral:rRNA from 1 species